rnacentral:rRNA from 12 species
GAAUGCAGCCCCAAUCGGGCGGUAAAUUCCGUCCAAGGCUAAAUACGGGCGAGAGACCGAUAGCGAACAAGUACCGUGAGGGAAAGAUGAAAAGUACCCCGAUGAGGGGAGUGAAACAGUACCUGAAACCGGAUGCUUACAAGCUGAGGGAGCUCUUCGGAGUGACCUCGUACCUUUUGUAUAAUGGGUCAACGACUUAGUG